rnacentral:lncRNA from 1 species
AUGGGCCCACACACACUUUGUUGUGCUAUUCAAGUAAGUUGAAGUCCUUUGCUAGUUGUUCUUCUUGAGUGGAAUAAAUCUUAUAAUAUUUCCUGAUGUUAGAGAUUGUAUCAUCUAAUCUUGUCUUUUGACUUGUGGAAGUUCUGAUUUGGGCCUUAUAGAUCUCUUACAUUAGUUUGAAGGUUCUUAAUUCCUAGGAUUGAGUGAUUAAGACCUUAUACAAAGACCUUGAUAGUAUCUUUGAUUUUGUCAUGAGAAAGUGAGUUUUAUGAGUGGAAGAACUAGCUGGUGAGGUUGAUGGGAUUUCACAUCCUAUUAGAAGCUUCAAAAGUUGAUUUGGGAGUGUUUGGAGUGAAGAAAUAUUCAUUUGUUUACAAGAGGGCAUUCUGAGAUUUUGCUAGUACAAAAUUAUUUUAGUGAUUUUAAGUACAUAGAGACUCCUU